CGUGGCCCCAAAAGUGGUCCUGAUCGGGUUAUACUGGAAGCCACUGGCCUGGCUGCAGGAACUGAAGUCAGCAUAGGCUGAAGCCAGGCUCGAUGUGUCCAUCCCAGCCAUACAAGACUCGUAGGCAGAGGAAUUGAGGGAGAAGAAACCUUGAUGUCAUAGAAAACCUGUUUUGUAAGAGCGUUACACGCUCAAUUUAACAACAAGCCUACCCCCCGAAGUGCAUGAAAUGUUAUAAAGGACUGGGACAUUGGCAAGACUCAGGCGCCCUGUAACAUAGAUUUCUUGAACUGAUUCCAUCUAGGUCAGCAUUCUACCCUUGACAGGCAAGAGUUAAUGAAGGACAAAGAAACUUCCAAACCUCAGAGGCCAAGCUGGAGCUGAACACCAACCAGAAAAAAAAAAAGGCUCACACAUCUGAGACCUGGCAAGCAGCAAGAAAGCACAUCCACCUAUAAGUACCGUCACGUUUAAUAAGAAUCCCAGGCAGGCUGCAAAUUGAUAUUGUGGUGUCAGAUACCGCUAGGUGGUUUUGAAAAUUAAAUUUUUUGUUUGAAAAUUAAAGUUAAUCGCAAAAGUACUUGA